rnacentral:rRNA from 1 species
AUGAUCUCGCUCUGCUAUUUCCCUGUCAUGCCACCGAGAUUUGCUCAUCUUCUUGUUUCUUAUGCCAACUUUGAAGCCCACGAUCUGCAGACCGUGAUCCUCAAGACGGCGGUGCCCGUGAUGGCCAUGGUGCUGCUGCUCACGGCGUCGACUGUCUCCGUGGCGCCGGACGACUGUGCCUGCGCCUACCUCCGCGCGUGCUUCGGCAGCAACUACUUCCUGAUGGUCGGCGUGCUCUGCCAGAUCAACCUGGCCCGUCUUCUGGCGAAGGAGGCCGUUCUGGCGCCGACGCUGGCGGCCCGGCGCUACUACGCGGUGGGCGCCGUCGCGUGCUUCAUGGAGCUCGCGCUCAAGCUGUACAUGAUCCUGGUGCUGGUGAGUCUUUGCGCUGUGUCCGUCCAGUUUGGGCUUGAUUUGGGCGCUAAUGAACUUGAUCUCGUCAUUUUCGUCAGUGCCCCUCGGCUUAGCUUCGUCGCGCGCGCGUGGAUGUGCCUGCCCAAGGAUCGAAGAUGGAUAGUUUUGGAGUCUGAAGAUGCGCCGUUUUGUUCAGUUAUUACUUACUACUCUGCUAAGUUUACAAGUUUGGAAGGGGACUGUCGUAUGGUGUUUUAG